UUUUUUUACUUUAUUUUUCUCUCCCUGUUGAAUUGGAAAAUAAAACUGGCUAUCUAUCUCCUAAAUAAACAGGAGUGAGUUGUUCUACAGCCUCAGAAUGCUUUUAGCCGUGUAGGGACAAAGUACUGUAUCAUUUUGUCAUUACAAUCAUGGCCCUUCCUAUUUUGAACAUAUGGCUGAAUAUCGACUCUUGAUGGCAUGAGCUCUUUAACCUAUGACGUGCUGAAGAUCUAACAUGAUCCUUCAUAAAUGCAGACAGAUCUCCUCCUGCAAGGCCUUCACAGAGCUUCCUGGCUAAAGCAGAAGCAGUAACCUGAUGUACAGUUCUUUGUCAUGGAUACCUACUCUGUAGAGACUUUCAGGACAACAAUCAGGUUCCCCAGAAAGUACAGAACUCUGAACUCUAAUAUUUGCAGUGUGGUAACAUCUCUAAAUGAAAUCCAUCUAGCAGAGCCAGGAAGUUUGGCCCUCUCCGAUACUUGGCUAGAAGGUGGCUCCACAGCCACGUGAGUUUCUCAAGAUGGGUCCUGGUGGGAUGGUGAUAUCUCUUGAACUGAUGACAGAGUGCUGAAAGUAAGAUAAAAUCAUUUAUAUUUUUUUCCUUCUUAUAAUUUCCUCAUUCACUCACAGAAUGAAACAGUUUGAUAGUGAUUAGAAAAUUGCCCUUUGUUUAGUUACUUCAUAGGCUUAAAUAUUGAAAACACUAUUUAAUAUUGUUAAUUAAUAUGUAAUGUUUGGAUGAAAGCUUCAUCCAAACAUUCCACACAAAUGCAAGAAAAAACUUCAUAAAACAGGACUGGGAAAAGGAGAUAUCCCCCCAGUUUGGACUAUUUCUAUUCCAAACUACUGAUGCCUCAGGAAAGGAUGUACUAACUUUGGCUAAGGAAGAUGACAACCUCCUCUGCAAAACAGCAUCCUCUUGAAAAUAGAAGACGCUGCUUUAUUCUACCUUUUGGCUGGGUUACUCACCUAAUCAUGCUUUUCCAAUGGUAGAGGAAAAUGGGGAGAGGGAGAUGAUACCACCUUCAUCCCUGUAGCACUUGUCUAGAAGUUUAAGGUUUAACAGCACCAGAAAUUAAACCCAAUGCAAGCAAUCAGUUUAUGAGUGAGUAGCUAGUCCUUUAUUGAACACAGGAUUAUUUCAUGGCCCAAGAAGUUACUGCAUUGGGAUCUAUUUUUGAUAGUGUGAUUAAACUUACUUGAAGUAUGACAAGAAGAGAAAGUAAAAACAAGCAUUCUAGAGGUAGUUCUGUAUCAUUCUUCAGCACAGUAUUAAAAGCACUUGUAUUCUUUUCAAAAGCCAAUUAAAUAAAAUGGAAGACCUUCAGCUGUUUCCA
rnacentral:lncRNA from 1 species